ACCGAGUUCAUUUCAUAAGUAAUUAGUGUGUUAUUUCCUCCUCCUACCACUAGGUGGUGUCUUUGUUUUUGGGGUUGGGCUUGACAUUUGGGCAGUCAUAUUGAAAUUCAUGGUAGUCAUGUGACACUUAUAGAAAGUCACCUUGAAUCCUUUGUUUCAGUCAGACCAGUAUUGGCACGAUAGUGUGAGCAGCAACAACAUCUUAAUCCAUCCUCUUUUGAAAUCACUUAUUGUAAUUCACUAAUAGAAGAAUCAUCU